rnacentral:rRNA from 1 species
GAUAGGUGGGAGGCUUUGAAGUGUGGACGCCAGUCUGCAUGGAGCCGACCUUGAAAUACCACCCUUUAAUGUUUGAUGUUCUAACGUGGACCCGUGAUCCGGGUUGCGGACAGUGUCUGGUGGGUAGUUUGACUGGGGCGGUCUCCUCCUAAAGAGUAACGGAGGAGCACGAAGGUUGGCUAAUCCUGGUCGGACAUCAGGAGGUUAGUGCAAUGGCAUAAGCCAGCUUGACUGCGAGCGUGACGGCGCGAGCAGGUGCGAAAGCAGGUCAUAGUGAUCCGGUGGUUCUGAAUGGAAGGGCCAUCGCUCAACGGAUAAAAGGUACUCCGGGGAUAACAGGCUGAUACCGCCCAAGAGUUCAUAUCGACGGCGGUGUUUGGCACCUCGAUGUCGGCUCAUCACAUCCUGGGGCUGAAGUAGGUCCCAAGGGUAUGGCUGUUCGCCAUUUAAAGUGGUACGCGAGCUGGGUUUAGAACGUCGUGAGACAGUUCGGUCCCUAUCUGCCGUGGGCGCUGGAGAACUGAGGGGGGCUGCUCCUAGUACGAGAGGACCGGAGUGGACGCAUCACUGGUGUUCGGGUUGUCAUGCCAAUGGCACUGCCCGGUAGCUAAAUGCGGAAGAGAUAAGUGCUGAAAGCAUCUAAGCACGAAACUUGCCCCGAGAUGAGUUCUCCCUGAGACUUAGAGUCUCCUGAAGGAACGUUGAAGACGACGACGUUGAUAGGCCGGGUGUGUAAGCGCAGCGAUGCGUUGAGCUAACCGGUACUAAUGAACCGUGAGGCUUAACCUUACAACGCCGAAG